GACGAACGCUGGCGGCGUGCCUAAUACAUGCAAGUAGAACGCUGAAGGAGGAGCUUGCUCUUCUGGGUGAGUUGCGAACGGGUGAGUAACGCGUAGGUAACCUGCCUGGUAGCGGGGGAUAACUAUUGGAAGCGAUAGCUAAUACCGCAUAAUAGUAGAUGUUGCAUGACAUUUGCUUAAAAGGUGCAAUUGCAUCACUACCAGAUGGACCUGCGUUGUAUUAGCUAGUUGGUGAGGUAACGGCUCACCAAGGCGACGAUACAUAGCCGACCUGAGAGGGUGAUCGGCCACACUGGGACUGAGACACGGCCCAGACUCCUACGGGAGGCAGCAGUAGGGAAUCUUCGGCAAUGGACGGAAGUCUGACCGAGCAACGCCGCGUGAGUGAAGAAGGUUUUCGGAUCGUAAAGCUCUGUUGUAAGAGAAGAACGAGU
rnacentral:rRNA from 1 species